UUCUAUCCAUGCGUUGAGAGUGGUUCUUUUGCCAAGCGCAUUAUUCACCUGGCUCCCCCGAAUAGAGGCUUAUCACCUCAUUCGGGGAUUUUU
rnacentral:sRNA from 1 species